UGAGAAUGACAUGUCUAUCUUUGCAAAGAAUGUUGCUUCGAAUUGAAAAAUUCCAAAGUCAUCACGCUAAAAUUGUUUAAAUUGUUUAUCUAAGCCUCUUCACGCGAAUGGAGCAGGGCUGUAACCCUCUUUAGAUUAUGCCAUAGGUUUUGGAUAUAUUUUUCUUUGUACGUUACUAGUAUUGGGGUUAUCGCAGUCUAGAAGUAUUGUGUUGUAAUGAAAUGCAAAUACCUAUACUCACGUUCGAAUUGAAGAAUGCUAACUAUCGAUUAUUUCUAAC